rnacentral:lncRNA from 1 species
AAGGCAAGCAAACAAACAGACCGAUGUCGGCCCAGGAGCUCAGGGACUGACAGAGUGCAACGGAACCCAAGGGGAAGCAGGUCCCUGCUGGAUCGGCGCAGUGUAGACACCUGCUACCUGACAAGGCUCUCCUGUCUGGGGACGUAGGCUCUAGGAGCCACCACAUGUGUUCAUCAAAAGGCAUGCUGGUGUUUCUUGAUUCAGAUCAGUACUAAUUGUCUCCUCAGGGGAACUCGCAGUUCUCAUUUUCUCAGCAAUCGGGUGCAAUGAGCCUGCAGAAGAAGCUUUUCCAGAGCUGUUGUAAGACUUCUGCAGGCCCUGGGCGCAGUCAUUUUCAGAGGUUUCAGGCCACGGCACGGCGAUGCCAUGAAAACGCGGAUGCAUCCCAUGCUAGCAAAAAUCAAGACAUCCUCUGAAGACUGUCCAUGAAGAUUUUGUUGGAGUGAGAAAAAAUAAGCAAUAAAAAUGUAGUCUUCUUGUUUGGCUAUAGUCUGGCCUGGAAUGGAUAUUUUGGAAGUGACUCCUCACGUGCAGGAAGGACUCUUAGGCCGUAUGUGUGGGCCUCUCCGAAGUUCAAAGCUGAUUUAUAGAGCAUCAGCGCUGACUCCUUGACAGAGAGUCUGCGGGUCAGAGGAACUUGAAGUCAGAAUGUGAGACUGAAGUCUCAGGAACACACAGAAUUCAUAUCAAGUUCCUUUUACACAUAACUUGUUAAGAAGAGCAUGUUUGCCUAAAGUGGGGUGCUCCUCACAGAUUCUGGGAGUACAGAAGAGCUCAGGAAAUGCUGGGGACAGAGUGGAGGCUGCGCUGGGAGGACCCUGGUGUGGUUUCAAUAUCAGCUUGGUGCCAGGUUCUCUGUAGCACCUUCUUUCUCUGUGAAAGUGGCCAACUGUUGCUGAAUCCUGGAAUGUUGGAUGGGCGAACGGGAGCCUGACCAAGCCCAGGCUGGAAUUCACAGCCUGAUUCUGGGAACUGAUGGGUUAUUGAUUCCCUGUGGCAUUGACUUACAUGAGCUGAUACCCCUUGGCCAUUGGUUGGGGGCUCAAAGAGUUUAGGGCGAGGGUACCUAAGAGGACAGAGAAGAUGGAGGAGUACAGCAUGCAGUUCAUCCCUUCCCUGUCCACCGCUGUGGUGUGAUUUCAGCCACUGAGGUUGAUUGAGGUGGACUGUGAGCUCCUCCCUCCAGCUAGGCAGACAUGGGGCCUACAGGAGGCAGACAGGUGUCAGGCUUAGGAGAGGGCUCUGUGGUUCCUUCUGCUGCAAACCCUGGCGCAGCUUCAGGGCCAACUUACCCGCUUGGCACAGUGAGCACAGGGCCUAGGGCCCAUGAAACUUUUAGGGUCCUAUGAAAAUGUUUUAAUUUCUUUUUUUUUUUGAGACGGAGUCUCGCUCUGUCG